CUUCACCUCCCAUUGUUUCUGUGUGUCUCUCUCUCUCCUCUGCUUCCCCUCCCCCCACAACCAAAGUCAAGAGCGCAGACCCCAUGCUCACCUGAUACCUCCAACCAAGCAGGUGUUCUUUUCAGAAGCCAGAAGCUGAUAACCUGGGCUUUCUGAUCUAACCCCAGCCUAAAUUCUUUGCAAUGGAGGAAUCGGGAAGGAGAUUCUCCUUACUGAGAAGUGGAUGCCAACACUCCCUUUCAAAUUCAUUCAUCAGCAAACUAAAGGGGAUGCCAGAUAUGUCUGGAGCAAUAGAAGCACCACUGGAAUAAUGCUCCUGCCUGAUUGCAUCUACUUAACCCACUCUCCAAGAGCUAGAAUCAGAUUUCAACCGUAUGGAAUCAUGUACAAUGCAGCAGAUGGGCUUACAAGUCUCUUGGUUCUUCAUGUAAUUAACAGCCAAGAAGUCUAAAGCUUGCAUUGUUUACGUGGAAGAUGUUUCUUGCCCAUUCCCACGCCAUGCCAUCUGAAAUCAUUCCUUUUUUUAUUUUUUCUGUGCGGUUUUUUUUAACUUUGUGGGAUCCUCUGCAUAUAAAACUCCAUUCAAC